UACGUAGGAUGCAAGCGUUGUCCGGAAUUAUUGGGCGUAAAGAGCGCGCAGGCGGUCUAUCAAGUCAGAUGUGAAAUAUCCCGGCUUAACCGGGAGGGGUCAUUUGAAACUGGUAGACUAGAGUACAGCAGAGGAUAGUGGAAUUCCCGGUGUAGUGGUGAAAUGCGUAGAUAUCGGGAGGAACACCAGUGGCGAAGGCGACUAUCUGGGCUGAAACUGACGCUGAGGAGCGAAAGCGUGGGGAGCGAACAGG
rnacentral:rRNA from 1 species